GAAAAUUACGAUGAGGCUUGACUUCCUUGAGAAAACUUUUGCAUUGGUGCUGGGAGUUUGCACACUUUAGCAAAACUACAUACACUAAACUUGUAGCCAUGUGAGUUUGGGAAGGACUUGAGAUACCAUAGAGUAUCACAAAAUGUUUGAUGAACAUGAUGAAAGCUUCACAAAAUGGAGGAGGUAUUAAAAUUUUCUGCCAUUUUCAUCUUUUAAGUUUAUAAAAUUAUGCAUUACUUAUGCUAAACUUGUUUAUGAUUGUCAAUGUGUAAUAUCCCGGUUGUGUUUAAAUGAAGAUGGAGAAGAGGAGGAGAAGGUGAAGAAAGAAUCUAAGUCAUGAGGAUAUGUCAGAUACUAUUCACCAUUGUGUAGCUAAGUAGCUGCAUAAUCUUAUAUUACAGUAGCAUGCUGUUGAAAAGAGAGAACAGAGAGAGUCAGCCAUAAUCCUGUUGGAACCAGAGUAAGAAGCAUCUUGUCAAAACCGUAUUCUGAGAGAGUACUUGUGUUUAGUUUUAAUAUUUGAGCAGAUUCAAGUUAAUGGAUAACACACUAAAAUUUUAGUAGAG
rnacentral:lncRNA from 1 species